rnacentral:tRNA from 1 species
GCGCAGUUGGCGAAAUUGGCAGACGCACCGGGUUUAGGUCCCGACGCCGCAAGGCAUGUGGGUUCAAGUCCCACACUGCGCACCA